AACACAUGCAAGUCGAGGGCAGCACAAGGAGCAAUCUGAGGUGGCGACCGGCGCACGGGUGAGUAACACGUAUGCAACCUGCCUGUAAGCGGGGAAUAACCCGUUGAAAGACGGACUAAUACCGCAUAAUACUAAAUUACUGCAUGGUAAUUUAUUUAAACAUUUAUGGCUUACAGAUGGGCAUGCGCAUGAUUAGCUAGUUGGAGAGGUAACGGCUCCCCAAGGCAACGAUCAUUAGGGGUUCUGAGAGGAAGGUCCCCCACACUGGUACUGAGACACGGACCAGACUCCUACGGGAGGCAGCAGUGAGGAAUAUUGGUCAAUGGACGAGAGUCUGAACCAGCCAAGUCGCGUGCAGGAAGAAUGUUCCCUAUGGAUUGUAAACUGCUUUUGCAGGGGAAUAAAGUGCAUCACGUGUGAUGUUUUGUAUGUACUCUGCGAAUAAGGAUCGGCUAACUCCGUGCCAGCCGCUGC
rnacentral:rRNA from 1 species